UACGUAGGGGGCAAGCGUUGUCCGGAUUUAUUGGGCGUAAAGAGCGUGUAGGCGGCUUGGAAGGUCAGCUGUGAAAACUCGAGGCUCAACCUCGAGACGUCGGUUGAAACCACCUGGCUAGAGUCCGGAAGAGGAGAGUGGAAUUCCCGGUGUAGCGGUGAAAUGCGCAGAUAUCGGGAAGAACACCCGUGGCGAGGGCGGCUCUCUGGGACGGUACUGACGCUGAGACGCGAAAGCGUGGGGAGCGAACAGG
rnacentral:rRNA from 1 species